AAAAGAGGUGAUACUACAAACUAUUUUGAGAUUUUAAAAAUAACAUUUGAAUAACAAUGUAGACGACAUUUCAAAAUGUCCCCAAAUUCCUUUUGAGGAAAUGAAGCUACAGGAUGAGUACUGGGCAGCCAGUUUCUUCCAGUCCCUGUGUUCCCUCUGACUCUGUUAGUUGGCAUCACGCUCUCUCAGAUAAAUAUCUGUUUGAGCUGAGAGAUGACAUUUUAUAAAUAGUUCUUAUUCUUAUUUUCCUUUAGGCCUGGGCAUAACAGAAAACUUUCAGGUACCAACAGAAAGUCAACUGAAGCCGAAUAAGUGUUCUGCUACCAAAGAGCCAACAUAACAUUAGCUCUAGAUGGCAGCAUGUCCCUUGAGUGAUGUUUCUCCCACUGUAGCAUAUUUUCCUCUAUUUUUGCUACCCAGUGCUGCCUUGUACUGUGUGAAGAUGCCUUGUGUAAUUUGUUAGUCAGACUGUUGAGCCUCACACUUCAGCCUUCGUCAGAACCAUCUGUAGGGCGUAUCAAAAUGGGUGUUGGGCCUCUCUCCCGCUAUUGAUUCAGAAAUUGCAGUACAAGGCUUGCAACCCUGCAUUUUGAUAAGAUCCCAGGUAAAGGGGGAGAUGAAGCCAUCACGAAAGUAAAACACCUGCUUGGAAAAAGUCAUACAGUUUGGUGGCUGAAAGAGCUACUUAAAAGAAAGGCUGCUAUUAAGAGCUGCUGCCCAACUUCACCUUCCACACUACCAGUCCUAACAGUGCUGUGUUAAGAGUAGAACCAAGGCCCCCAUUGUUGGUCAAGAUGGCCACAGCCUCCACCAGACGCGGUGACUUCUCUUGCUACGAAAAACAAAAGAUAAUAAUUUAGAAGACUAGAAAGGAAGGAAAAGAGCCUGAGAUAUCCAGCAGAACACAUGUGACUUGAUUCCUAGGCACAUUUGUCUAGAGCCCUCCAUGAAGCAGAAAAGGCUGAACUGGAAGACUGGUGCUCAGAGACUCCAUUUGUUCAUGUGGAUAAUUCGUCUCUGGUCAGUAGAUUGCAAAGCCCACAGAAGCAAACGUUUUCUUGUCCUGUUGCCCUUUACAUUGUUUCAGCAUUGAACAUUUACUUCAAUAAGACUCAGGUGGAAUGGUGCUUGGAUGUAAGUCUGUCUUCAUGGCCUUGCUCUGCCUCUUACCUGUAUGCUCUGCACAAUAAAAAAUUUAUAAUCUCUGA